rnacentral:rRNA from 1 species
UACCGGCGGCUCGAGUGGUGGCCGAUAUUAUUGAGUCUAAAGGGUCCGUAGCCGGCUUCGCAAGUCCCUCGGGAAAUCCGGCGGCUUAACCGUUGGGCUUCUGGGGGCGACUGCGUUGCUUGGGACUGGGAGAGGCGGGAGGUACUCAGGGGGUAGGAGUGAAAUCCUGUAAUCCUUUGGGGACCACCGGUGGCGAAGGCGUCCCGCCAGAACAGGUCCGACGGUGAGGGACGAAAGCUAGGGGC